UACGGGGAGCAAGCGUUGUUCGGAUUUACUGGGCGUAAAGGCGCGUAGGCGGUCAGCACAAGUCAGUUGUGAAUCUCCGGCUUAACUCGGAAGGUCAACUGAUACUGUGCGACUAGAGUGCAGAAGGCAACUGAAUCGUCGUGUAGCGUGAAUGACGUAGAUAUCGAGAGACACUGCGCGACGGGGGGUGCUGGGGGGCUGACACUGAC
rnacentral:rRNA from 1 species